GAGUAAUGAUGAAAAUGUACUACUGAAUUUUGAAAAUAGGAAGAUUUCUACAUUUAACCUGAGCUCA
rnacentral:snoRNA from 1 species